UACGGAGGGUGCAAACGUUGCUCGGAAUCAUUGGGCGUAAAGGGUGCGUAGGCGGGUCUUUUAAGUCAGGGGUGAAAUCCUGGAGCUCAACUCCAGAACUGCCUUUGAUACUGAAGAUCUUGAGUUCGGGGAGAGGUGAGUGGAACUGCGAGUGUAGAGGUGAAAUUCGUAGAUAUUCGCAAGAACACCAGUGGCGAAAGGCGGCUCACUGGCCCGAUACUGACGCUGAGGCACGAAAAGCGUGGGGGGAGCAAAACAGGA
rnacentral:rRNA from 1 species